AGCCUCAUCGUCUAGCGGUUUAGGACGCUGCCCCCUCAAGGCAGAUACGAGGUUCAAAUCUCCCUGGGGCUA
rnacentral:tRNA from 1 species